rnacentral:rRNA from 1 species
AUUGAACGCUGGCGGCAGGCUUAACACAUGCAAGUCGAGCGGAGCGAGGGUGCUUGCACCUUAGCUUAGCGGCGGACGGGUGAGUAAUGCUUAGGAAUCUGCCUAUUAGUGGGGGACAACAUUCCGAAAGGAAUGCUAAUACCGCAUACGCCCUACGGGGGAAAGCAGGGGAUCUUCGGACCUUGCGCUAAUAGAUGAGCCUAAGUCGGAUUAGCUAGUUGGUGGGGUAAAGGCCUACCAAGGCGACGAUCUGUAGCGGGUCUGAGAGGAUGAUCCGCACACUGGGACUGAGACACGGCCCAGACUCCUACGGGAGGCAGCAGUGGGUAAUAUUGGACAAUGGGCGGAAGCCUGAUCCAGCCAUGCCGCGUGUGUGAAGAAGGCCUUUUGGUUGUAAAGCACUUUAAGCGAGGAGGAGGCUCUUAAGGUUAAUACCCUUGAUGAGUGGACGUUACUCGCAGAAUAAGCACCGGCUAACUCUGUGCCAGCCGCCGCGGUAA